rnacentral:sRNA from 1 species
ACUGGGUGUGGUGGCGCAUGCCUGUAAUCACAGUGGCUCAGGAGGCUGAGGCAAGAGACUUGCAAGUUCAAAGUCAGCCUCCGCAACUUAGCAAGGCCCUAAGCAAUUUAGCAAGACCCUGUCUCUA